ACCUCUCAUUUAGUCUCCUAAGCUCCUUGCAAGUGUCUUUUGUCCAAAUGGCUCCCAAAAUGAAGCUACCGCAAAGAAAAAAAUCGGUUCGUAGGUUGGAAGAGAGUGUGCGCAGAAAAAGAAUGACAGCCGAGCCCUCUCCUGCUCCAAUCUCAGCUCCAGGUCCUGCUUUAGCUUCUACAUAGUCUCCAAUCAGUCCAAGCAAGGUACUUCUC
rnacentral:lncRNA from 1 species